rnacentral:snoRNA from 1 species
UGGCUAUGAUUAAUUAAUUAUCCGCACUUCUGAGAUGCAUAAUCCAUGAAGCAUACAGAUAAAAAUGGUUGAAUUUCUUGAUAUGAGCCA